rnacentral:rRNA from 1 species
ACGCUCGACACCUAGGGAGGCAGCAGUGGGGAAUAUUGCACAAUGGGGGGAACCCUGAUGCAGCGACGCCGCGUGAGUGAAGAAGUACUUCGGUAUGUAAAGCUCUAUCAGCAGGGAAGAAAAUGACGGUACCUGACUAAGAAGCCCCGGCUAACUACGUGCCACAGCCGCGGUAAUCUGAGCGGGCUGGCAAGGC